GAAUGGAUGAUCGCGUGGCGCAAGUCACGAGGAAAGUCCGGGCUCCACAGGGCAAGGAUGCCGGAUAACAUCCGGUGGAGGCGACUCCCAGGAAAGUGCAACAGAAAAUAACAGCCCCCGCAAGGGAGCAAUGGUGAAAAGGCAGUGUAAGAGACUACCGCCCGGCCGGUAACGGUCCGGGGUCAAUGUAAACCCCAUCCGGAGCAAGAUCAAGCGCAGGGCAGCAGGCGGCCCGUCUCAGUCCCUCAGGUAGAUCGCUCGAGCCGUAUGGAGACAUACGGCCUAGAUAGAUGAUCAUCCUCGACAGAACCCGGCUUAUAGUUCCUCUUAU
rnacentral:RNase_P_RNA from 1 species